UACGUAGGGUGCAAGCGUUAAUCGGAAUUACUGGGCGUAAAGCGUGCGCAGGCGGUUGUGCAAGACAGAUGUGAAAUCCCCGGGCUUAACCUGGGAAUUGCAUUUGUGACUGCACGGCUAGAGUGUGUCAGAGGGGGGUAGAAUUCCACGUGUAGCAGUGAAAUGCGUAGAUAUGUGGAGGAAUACCGAUGGCGAAGGCAGCACCCUGGGAUAACACUGACGCUCAUGCACGAAAGCGUGGGGAGCAAACAGG
rnacentral:rRNA from 1 species